UACGUAGGGGGCUAGCGUUGUCCGGAAUCAUUGGGCGUAAAGCGCGUGUAGGCGGUCCGGUAAGUCCGCUGUGAAAGUCGGGGGCUCAACCCUCGAAUGCCGGUGGAUACUGUCGGGCUAGAGUGCGGAAGAGGCGAGUGGAAUUCCUGGUGUAGCGGUGAAAUGCGCAGAUAUCAGGAGGAACACCGAUGGCGAAGGCAGUGUUCUGGGCCAGUACUGACGCUGAGGAGCGAAAGCGUGGGUAGCAAACAGG
rnacentral:rRNA from 1 species